ensembl:lncRNA
GAAGGCAGAGAGAGAGAAGGCAGAGAGAGAGAAGGCAGAGAGAGAGAGAGAGCAGAGAAGGCAGAGAGAGAAGGCAAAGAGAGAGAGAAGGCAGAGAGAGAGAAGGCAGAGAGAGAGAGAGAAGGCAGAGAGAGAGAGAGAAGGCAGAGAGAGAGAGAAGGCAGAGAGAGAGAGAGAAGGCAGAGAGAGAGAGAGAAGGCAGAGAGAGAGAGAGAAGGCAGAGAGAGAGAGAGAAGGCAGAGAGAGAGAGAAGGCAGAGAGAGAGAGAGAGAGAAAGACAGCAGAGGGCAGAGAGAGAGAGGAGCGAGAAGGCAGAGAGAGA